AGCGGCGGACGGGUGAGUAAUGCAUAGGAAUCUGCCCGAUAGUGGGGGAUAACCUGGGGAAACCCAGGCUAAUACCGCAUACGUCCUACGGGAGAAAGGGGGCUUCGGCUCCCGCUAUUGGAUGAGCCUAUGUCGGAUUAGCUAGUUGGUGAGGUAAAGGCUCACCAAGGCAACGAUCCGUAGCUGGUCUGAGAGGAUGAUCAGCCACAUCGGGACUGAGACACGGCCCGAACUCCUACGGGAGGCAGCAGUGGGGAAUAUUGGACAAUGGGCGCAAGCCUGAUCCAGCCAUGCCGCGUGUGUGAAGAAGGCCCUCGGGUUGUAAAGCACUUUCAGCGAGGAAGAACGCCUAGCGGUUAAUACCCGCUAGGAAAGACAUCACUCGCAGAAGAAGCACCGGCUAACUCCGUGCCAGCAGCCGCGGUAAUACGGAGGGUGCAAGCGUUAAUCGGAAUUACUGGGCGUAAAGCGCGCGUAGGUGGCUUGAUAAGCCGGUUGUGAAAGCCCCGGGCUCAACCUGGGAACGGCAUCCGGAACUGUCAAGCUAGAGUGCAGGAGAGGAAGGUAGAAUUCCCGGUGUAGCGGUGAAAUGCGUAGAGAUCGGGAGGAAUACCAGUGGCGAAGGCGGCCUUCUGGACUGACACUGACACUGAGGUGCGAAAGCGUGGGUAGCAAACAGGAUUAGAUACCCUGGUAGUCCACGCCAUAAACGAUGUCGACCAGCCGUUGGGUGCCUAGCGCACUUUGUGGCGAAGUUAACGCGAUAAGUCGACCGCCUGGGGAGUACGGCCGCAAGGUUAAAACUCAAAUGAAUUGACAGGGGCCCGCACAAGCGGUGGAGCAUGUGGUUUAAUUCGAUGCAACGCGAAGACUUUACCUACUCAUGACAU
rnacentral:rRNA from 2 species